CACGUAGGGUGCGAGCGUUGUCCGGAAUUAUUGGGCGUAAAGAGCUCGUAGGCGGUGUGUCGCGUCGGCCGUGAAAACCUGCAGCUUAACUGUGGGCUUGCGGUCGAUACGGGCAUCACUGGAGUUCGGCAGGGGAGACUGGAAUUCCUGGUGUAGCGGUGAAAUGCGCAGAUAUCAGGAGGAACACCGGUGGCGAAGGCGGGUCUCUGGGCAGAUACUGACGCUGAGGAGCGAAAGCAUGGGUAGCGAACAGG
rnacentral:rRNA from 1 species